rnacentral:RNase_P_RNA from 1 species
GGGAGUGGGCGCAUGAUCGCUGGCCGUCCGGCCAGAGGAAAGUCCGAACUCCGCAGGGCAAGGUGGUUCGUAACCCGAACUGGGGGCAACCCCGAGGAAAGUGCCACAGAAAACAGACCGCCCCGGCCUUUGGCCUGGGUAAGGGUGAAACGGCGAGGUAAGAGCUCACCGCCUGCCGGGUGACCGGCAGGGCACGGCAAACCCCACCUGGAGCAAAAUCAAAUAGGGAAACACUUGAGGACGGCCCGUCCGACGUUUCCGGGUAGAUCGCAAGAGGGGCCAGGCGACUGGCCUCCCAGAGAAAUGAUCAUGGCCCCGCCCCUCGGGACGGGGUACAGAAUUCGGCUUACAACCCACUCCCCCUG